rnacentral:rRNA from 1 species
UACGGAGGGUGCAAGCGUUGUCCGGAAUCACUGGGCGUAAAGGGCGCGUAGGCGGCUCAUGAAGGCUGUGGUGAAAGUCCGGGGCUCAACCUCGGAUCGGCCGUGGCGACUCGUGGGCUGGAGCACUGUAGAGGCGGGUGGAAUUCCGGGUGUAGCGGUGAAAUGCGUAGAGAUCGGGAGGAACACCAGUGGCGAAGGCGGCUACCUGGACCAGCACUGACACUGAGGCACGAAAGCGUGGGGAGCGAACAGG